GACGAACGCUGGCGGCGUGCCUAAUACAUGCAAGUCGAGCGAGCGGAACUAACAGAUUUACCUCGGUAAUGACGUUAGGAAAGCGAGCGGCGGAUGGGUGAGUAACACGUGGGGAACCUGCCCCAUAGUCUGGGAUACCACUUGGAAACAGGUGCUAAUACCGGAUAAGAAAGCAGAUCGCAUGAUCAGCUUUUACAAGGCGGCGUAAGCUGUCGCUAUGGGAUGGCCCCGCGGUGCAUUAGCUAGUUGGUAAGGUAAAGGCUUACCAAGGCGAUGAUGCAUAGCCGAGUUGAGAGACUGAUCGGCCACAUUGGGACUGAGACACGGCCCAAACUCCUACGGGAGGCAGCAGUAGGGAAUCUUCCACAAUGGACGCAAGUCUGAUGGAGCAACGCCGCGUGAGUGAAGAAGGUUUUCGGAUCGUAAAGCUCUGUUGUUGGUGAAGAAGGAUAGAGGUAGUAACUGGCCUUUAUUUGACGGUAAUCAACCAGAAAGUCACGGCUAACUACGUG
rnacentral:rRNA from 1 species